rnacentral:rRNA from 1 species
GACUAACGCUGGCGGCGUGUCUUAGACAUGCAAGUCGAACGGGUCGCUAUUCUGUAGCAAUACAGAAUAGCGCUAGUGGCGAACGGGUGAGUAAUACAAAAGCAACUUUCCUCAGAGUGGAGCAUAACCCCGAGAAAUCGGUGCUAAUUCUCCAUAUUAUCCUGACACAGAAGUGUCAGGAUGAAAGGCUUCGGUCGCUCUGAGAUAGACUUUUGCCCUAUCAGCUUGUUGGUGAGAUAACAGCUCACCAAGGCACUGACGGGUAGGGGGUGUGAGAGCAUGACCCCCCACAUGGGAACUGCGACACGGUCCCAACUCCCUACGGGAGGCAGCAGUCUAGAAAUUUGGGCAAUGGGCGCAAGCCUGACCCAGCGACGCCGCGUGAGGGAUGAAGUCCCUCGGGAUGUAAACCUCUGUUGAGGGGAACGAUAAUGACGGUACCCCUCGAGGAAGCCUCGGCUAACUCCGUG